ACCUGAUGAUAUGGGCAUUUAUGAAGUGGGUCCCCGAAACGCUCCCAUGUCUCAAAGAAAAGCUCCCCAUCCAUUUGUGUGGAACUUGUGAUUGCCCUUCGCAGCU